rnacentral:rRNA from 1 species
UACAGAGGUCUCAAGCGUUGUUCGGAUUCAUUGGGCGUAAAGGGUGCGUAGGUGGCGCCGUAAGUCGGGUGUGAAAUUUCGGAGCUUAACUCCGAAACUGCAUUCGAUACUGCGGUGCUUGAGGACUGGAGAGGAGACUGGAAUUCAUGGUGUAGCAGUGAAAUGCGUAGAUAUCUGGAGGAAUACCGGUGGCGAAGGCGGCAUCCUGGACCGGCAUUGACGCUGAUGAGCGAAAGCUAGGGGAGCAAACGGGG